AGAGUUUGAUCAUGGCUCAGAUUGAACGCUGGCGGCAUGCCUUACACAUGCAAGUCGAACGGCAGCGCGGGAGCAAUCCUGGCGGCGAGUGGCGAACGGGUGAGUAAUACAUCGGAACGUGCCCAAUCGUGGGGGAUAACGCAGCGAAAGCUGUGCUAAUACCGCAUACGAUCUACGGAUGAAAGCAGGGGACCGCAAGGCCUUGCGCGAAUGGAGCGGCCGAUGGCAGAUUAGGUAGUUGGUGGGGNNAAAGGCUCACCAAGCCGACGAUCUGUAGCUGGUCUGAGAGGACGACCAGCCACACUGGGACUGAGACACGGCCCAGACUCCUACGGGAGGCAGCAGUGGGGGAAUUUUGGACAAUGGGCGCAAGCCUGAUCCAGCCAUGCCGCGUGCAGGAUGAAGGCCUUCGGGUUGUAAACUGCUUUUGUACGGAACGAAAAGCCUCUUUCUAAUAAAGAGGGGUCAUGACGGUACCGUAAGAAUAAGCACCGGCUAACUACGUGCCAGCAGCCGCGGUAAUACGUAGGGUGCAAGCGUUAAUCGGAAUUACUGGGCGUAAAGCGUGCGCAGGCGGUUAUAUAAGACAGUUGUGAAAUCCCCGGGCUCAACCUGGGAACUGCAUCUGUGACUGUAUAGCUAGAGUACGGUAGAGGGGGAUGGAAUUCCGCGUGUAGCAGUGAAAUGCGUAGAUAUGCGGAGGAACACCGAUGGCGAAGGCAAUCCCCUGGACCUGUACUGACGCUCAUGCACGAAAGCGUGGGGAGCAAACAGGAUUAGAUACCCNNGUAGUCC
rnacentral:rRNA from 1 species